rnacentral:sRNA from 1 species
AGAGUUAAACAGUACGUGAAAUUGUUGAAAGGGAAACGAUUGAAGUCAGUCAUACCAACGGGAAAUCAACCUUUUGAGUUUGGUCUCGUGGGUUUUGAAGAGUUUAAAAGCCUUCGGAUUUUCGAGAUUGGGUUCUUCUGGUGUACUUUCUCGUACGGUUAGUCAACAUCGGUUUUGAAUGUCAUAAAAUGACUGGAGGAAUGUGGCUUCGAUCUCGUAUUGAAGUGUUAUAGCCUUUGGUAGAUGUGAUGUUUGAGACCGAGGAUUGCAACGGAUACCCUUCUGGGCUAUUCGUCUGAUCUCUGAAACGUUGCCUUGAUGUCGAAAGCUUGCUUAUGAUGUUAGGGUAUUACGGUCAAAAGGUUAGAACGGAUUAAAUUCGUUAAGGAUGUUGACGUAAUGACUUUAAACGACC